rnacentral:rRNA from 1 species
CCUACCAAGGCGACGAUCCAUAGCUGGUCUGAGAGGAUGAUCAGCCACAUUGGGACUGAGACACGGCCCAAACUCCUACGGGAGGCAGCAGUGGGGAAUAUUGGACAAUGGGCGCAAGCCUGAUCCAGCCAUGCCGCGUGAGUGAUGAAGGCCUUAGGGUUGUAAAGCUCUUUCACCGGAGAAGGUAAUGACGGUAUCCGGAGAAGAAGCCCCGGCUAACUUCGUGCCAGCAGCCGCGGUAAUACGAAGGGGGCUAGCGUUGUUCGGAAUUACUGGGCGUAAAGCGCACGUAGGCGGGCAUUUAAGUCAGGGGUGAAAUCCCAGAGCUCAACUCUGGAACUGCCUUUGAUACUGGGUGUCUUGAGUAUGGAAGAGGUAAGUGGAAUCCCGAGUGUAGAGGUGAAAUUCGUAGAUAUUCGGAGGAACACCAGUGGCGAAGGCGGCUUACUGGUCCAUUACUGACGCUGAGGUGUGAAAGCGUGGGGAGCAAACAGGAUUAGAUACCCUGGUAGUCCACGCCGUAUACGAUGAAUGUUAGCCGUCGGGCAGUUGACUGUUCGGUGGCGCAGCUAACGCAUUAAACAUUCCGCCUGGGGAGUACGGUCGCAAGAUUAAAACUCAAAUGAAUUGACGG